rnacentral:tRNA from 1 species
GCCCCUGUAGCUCAGUGGUCAGAGCGGCUGCCUUCUAAGCAGCGGGUCGCAGGUUCGAGUCCUGCCGGGGGCGCAA